rnacentral:rRNA from 1 species
GAGGCGAACCGGGGGAACUGAAACAUCUAAGUACCCCGAGGAAAAGAAAUCAACCGAGAUUCCGAAAGUAGCGGCGAGCGAAAUUGGACUAGCCCUUAAGCUUUACACGCGUUAGACGAACGGUCUGGAAAGUCCGACGAUACAGGGUGAUAGUCCCGUAGUUGACGACGUGUGUUCAGUGAAAUCGAGUAGGGCGGGACACGUGAUAUCCUGUCUGAAUAUGGGGGGACCAUCCUCCAAGGCUAAAUACUACUGACUGACCGAUAGUGAACCAGUACCGUGAGGGAAAGGCGAAAAGAACC